rnacentral:rRNA from 1 species
GACGAACGCUGGCGGCGUGCCUAAUACAUGCAAGUAGAACGCAGUUUCGCACGGGUGUGUAACGCGUAUGUAACUUCCUCAUAGCGGGGGAUACCUUUUUGAAACGAUAGCUAAUACCGCCUACUUUGAGAUGGACCUGCUUUGUAUUAGUUAGUUGGUGAGGCAAACGCUCACCAAGGCGACUAUACAUAGCCGACCUGGGAGGGUGAGCGGCCAAACUGGGACUGGGACACGGCCCAGAAUCCUACGGGAGGCAGGAGUAGGGAAACUUCGGAAAUGGACGGAAGUCUGAACGAGGAAAGCCGGGGGAGAGAAGGAGGGCUUCGGAGCGUAAAGCUCUGUUGAUAGAGAAGCGGUAACUAACCAGAAAGGGACGGCUAACUACGUGCCAGCAGCCGCGGUAAUAC